GCACCCCGUGGAAGGAAUCCCCGAGCGAGGCGCUCGUCUCAUCUCUCCCGAGCGAGGCGACAGAAGCGGAGGCGGCGGGGACUAGUGGACAGCGGCGGCGCAACCUGCCCGGAUGAGGAGGGCGCCCUCCUGCUUCGACGAGCCGCCACGAAGCCCGCCGGAACCCUGGCUCCGAUUGUCCCAUCUCCCCUGCCACCCCCUUGCCGCGGCCGGAACCCUAGCUCUGGAGUGGUUGCUGUAGGUGAGGAGAUCUCUGAGGCUAGCUUCGUCGCCUCACAGCUGUGGCAAGACCCUGAAUUGGGCAGCAUCGUGAAGGACAAGGCCAAACUGCUGAAGGGACAUAUAACUUCACCUCUAUCGAGUCAUCACAUUGCUCAACCCAACCACAUCUCGAGAAUCUUGGAGGAGCUGGCAAGAAUCAAGGAGAAACAUCAGUUGAUGGUGAGAAUCUUGGAGGAGAAAGGGUGCAGAUUGAUGAAGAUGUUGAGGAGGUGUACGUGCAAGAAAACAUUGAUGUGGAGCCCCAACAAACUCAACCAAAUUUGGCUACUGCACCCUCAAGAAAUGGAGAAGAGAAAGAAUCAAAGAGAUGGAGGGGAGCGAAUGGUGAUGUGGCUGCAAUGAUGGAGAAGUACUUGGAAAUAAGGGCGAAGCAGGUGGAGGAUGAGAGGAAUAAGCCAAGGGUUGUGGAUGAGUACUCUAUCAAAAACUGCAUCGAUCUGCUGAAAACAAUGGACAUCACACCUGAGGAAGAGGUCAAGGCUUUCCGAGUCUUCAAGAUCCCCGAGAACCGAGAGAUUUUCAUGAGUGCCAAACCAGAGACUACUCUUAUGUGGCUGAGAGAUGAAAAGGAAUAAGUCAGUGCAUCAGUCACUACAGAAGCGACAUCGGCAAGAUAAAUUAUGUAACAUCUGUAUUAUGUCUUGCAUGAUUUUGCAGAGAUGCUAAACCAUACUCUGAAAGUGACCGAUUCCAGUUUGGGACAACUGAGAAUUUUUAGAAUUAUUUUGCUGUCUAUUUGAGAUAAAUUAUGUAACAUCUGUAUUAUAUCUUCACCGAUUUUACUGUUUAUUUGAGAUAAAUAAAUUA